AAUAAUAAUCGCGAAAUUAAUGUGAAGUGUAACGGCGGAUCAAUCAUUCUCUAAUCAAUCAAUUGAACAGAUUGGCGUAGAGAGAAAGAUGAGGGGGAUAGCUAAUCAAAAGUGCGUAGCCGACGUAACCCCGCUCACUCUGCGGGGUCGCCCCCCCCCCCCUCGUCCUUUCAAUCACUUUUUUUUGGCAUACUGCAUAGGCGUGUUGUCUGUGUGUGUAUUAUUUGCAUACCCGCCUCUCUAAACAACACUUGGCAUUGUUUCUUCGCGCCAG
ensembl:ncRNA C04C11.21 ncRNA